UUCAUUCAUUCAUUGAAAUUAUCAAUUGUUAUUAUGACUAAUUUAAGUAGCCUUAACAUGUGACAACAAAAGAGAAUUCUUCACACAAACAUAUAUAAGUAGCAUUUUAUAUAAAUAUGCUUGUAAACUCCAUCUGAGCAGCAGGCCACUGUACAAGGACUAAUCGUUCUCAUUUUAAUAUAGAAAAUUGACUACUUAAAACAUAAACAUAUAUUACGAUGGCGACAAAUAAAAUAUUACUAGUUUUUGGACUGUUUGUCAUGGCAACCAUAUUUGAUGAAGGUGAAUGUCAAAGGCGUCACAGGUUGUGUAUCAACAGAGCUGGAACAUGUAGUGACACUAAAUGGAGUAGAGGUAUAAUCGUUCCUACAAGUGUUGGUCGCUGUGGUAUGAAAGGCGGUACGUGUGAAUUCCUGUCAAAAGGAAAUAGGGCUAGUUGUAUAUGUGCUGUGAUGUUUGACGUGUAGAUACAUUAUAACGUGAACAUUUACGAGGAAAAAUCACGCCAUUUAAUUUUCUCUUACUCAAAAGAAAAAGUGUAAGCAUUUGUUUUCCGACGGAGUAAUACAAGGGAACAUAAGGAAUAGGCAGAUAAGGAGAUUCAUUCUGUCCAUGACAAAAUGGAUUUACUGUUCUGACUCUAAUUAUUACGACCUUGAAAGCUCUAUUUAAAUAAGAGGAUUACAUUGUAGUAAUUUAAUCUUUAUUUUUUAUUUUGUAGAAAUUGAUAUCAUUUGAUGUCAACUAUUUAUAUCGGCCAUGUAUUUUAGGUAAAUAUUCAUAUUGGACAUCUUUUCAUCUUGAUACUUGGUAUGUUUUUUCUAUAUUUCCCAUUCUUUAUGUCUUGGUAGUUAUAAAAGAACGAAUUAAUUUGUAUGGUUUACUAUACAUCUUAACGUACUAUUUUUUAUCGUUUAAAGUGCAAUGUUAUUUUGUGGUCGAUGUUUGUGAACAUUCAACAUAUUUUAAAAUAUUUUCCGAUUAAGACUAGUUGUGUUUCAAAGUUUAUAUUGUUUAUUGUUCUCAUUCAGUGUUUGUCUUUAUGAACUUUACAAGCAGUGUAUUUGUAAUAAAAUUGAAAAAUACAUAUUAAACUUUAAUGAUUAUAUAUUAAGACAAAUUGUGAUGUGAGUUGGUUUUAUUUAUUUUAUGCUAAUAUCUAUCUUCACAUGUUACACAUGAUUUGUUUAUAUUUAACAUGUUCAAGACUUACACAUUUCAUUUAUUUUAUAGUAAUUUAUCAGUUUAUUAACAUUAAAUCUUUAUUUUUUAUAUUUUUGUUAUUUAUUGAUUUGUCUAAAUAAACUAUAAAAACAGAA